rnacentral:misc_RNA from 1 species
GAUGAAGAACGUAGCGAAAUGCGAUAAGUAAUGUGAAUUGCAGAAAUCAGUGAAUCAUCGAAUCUUUGAACGCACAUUGCGCCCGCCAGUAUUCUGGCGGGCAUGCCUGUCUGAGCGUCAUUUCAACCCUCAUGCCCCUAGGGCGUGGUGUUGGGGAUCGGCCAAAGCCCGCGAGGGACGGCCGGCCCCUAAAUCUAGUGGCGGACCCGUCGUGGCCUCCUCUGCGAAGUAGUGAUAUUCCGCAUCGGAGAGCGAUGAGCCCCUGCCGUUAAACCCCCAACUUUCCAAGGUUGACCUCAGAUCAGGUAGGAAUACCCGCUGAACUUAAGCAUAUCAAUAAGCGGAGGA